rnacentral:rRNA from 1 species
GCUUAAUUUGACUCAACGCGGGAAAUCUUACCGGGUCCGGACACACUGAGGAUUGACAGGUAACGUUAUACACACAUAUAUUUACUCUCGCGGGUAUUUGUACUGCUGUGUAUAUAUAAAAUAUGCUAGUCCUUUCAUGAUUAUGUGAUAGGUGGUGCAUGGCCGUUCUUAGUUCGUGGAGUGAUCUGUCUGCUUAAUUGCGUUUCACUAAGGAUCUAUAUUCAUAUUACGCAUAGCAUUUUGACCCCUUUAUGCUUCGGUAUAAAGCUGCGCGUCAAACCUUGCUAUCUGCGUAUAUUAGAUCCUGAAAGCAACGAACGUGACCGCAACCUCUUGUUGCCUUUAACUAGGUUUUGCUUACGUAUAGCUUCGGCUUUACGCUUUGCAUCUAAAAAGGCUGAUUUUCUAAACUAGAGGGACCGCUGUUACUUUCUUAAACCAGAGGAAGGUUGCGGCAAUAACAGGUCUGUGA